AGUGAACGCUGGCGGUAGGCCUAACACAUGCAAGUCGAACGAGUGGCGGACGGGUGAGGAAUACAUCGGAAUCUACUCUGUCGUGGGGGAUAACGUCGGGAAACCUACGCUAAUACCGCAUACGAUUGAAUGAGCCGAUGUCGGAUUAGCUAGUUGGCGGGGUAACGGCCCACCAAGGCGACGAUCCGUAGCUGGUCUGAGAGGAAGAUCAGCCACACAGGAACUGAGACACGGUCCAGGCUCCUACGGAAGACAGCAGUGGGGGAUAUUGGACGAUGGACGCAAGCCUGAUCCAGCCAUACCGCGUGAGUGAAGAAGGCCUUCGGGUUGUAAAGCCCUUUUGUUGGGAAAGCGAUACCCAAAGAAUAAGCACCGGCUGACUUCGUGCCAGCAGCCGCGGUAAUUC
rnacentral:rRNA from 1 species